rnacentral:rRNA from 1 species
CCCGGGACCUUUACUAUACCUUGGUAUUGUCGUUAGGUGUGGAUCGUGUAGCAUAGGCGGGAGGCUGUGAAGCGUGGGCGCUAGCUUGCGUGGAGUCGAUCAGUGAAAUACCGCUCUUUCCAUAUCUGGCGUCUAACCUUGACACGUUAUCCGUGUUAGGGACAGUGCCUGGCGGGUAGUUUAACUGGGGCGGUUGCCUCCUAAAGAGUAACGGAGGCGCUCAAUGGUCCGCUCAGCCCGGUUGGCAAUCGGGUGUUGAG